rnacentral:rRNA from 1 species
UACGUAGGGGCCGAGCGUUGUCCGGAGUUAUUGGGCGUAAAGCGCGCGCAGGCGGCUUCGCGCGCCCGACGUGAAAGCCCCGGGCUCAACCUGGGAAUGGCCGUUGAAACUGGCGAACUGGAGUGUGGCAGAGGGGGGUGGAAUUCCGCGUGUAGCAGUGAAAUGCGUAGAGAUGCGGAGGAACACCGAUGGCGAAGGCAGCCCCCUGGGCUAGCACUGACGCUCAGGCACGAAAGCGUGGGGAGCAAACAGG